CUUAUACUCCCUCCGUCCGGAAAUACUUGUCAGAGGAAUGGAUGUAUCUAGUCGCAUUUUAGUUCUAGAUACAUCCAUUUUUAUGCAUUUCUCCGACAAGUAUUUCCGGAUGGAGGGAGUAUUAU
rfam:Triticum aestivum genome assembly, contig: Triticum_aestivum_CS42_TGACv1_scaffold_577657_7BL